rnacentral:lncRNA from 1 species
CAGGGUCAGAAAGUGUGAAAGUAGAAUAUUUGAGAGACAUCUCAAAAGAUGUAUCAAGAAGAUAGCAGGAGUAGGAUGUGUACUAUAAAAGGAUGAGUGGGUGGCAGGGAGAGCUUCCCGGCAUGUGAUUCAAGUUUCAGCCUGCAUAUCAAGACUUCCACUUUCUCUCUUUUUUUUUUUUUUUAAGAUUUUAUUUAUUCAUGAGAGACACACAGAGAGAGAAGGGGGCAGAGACACAGGCAGAGGGAGAAGCAGGCCCCAUGCAGGAAGCCUGAUGUGGGACUCAAUUCCCGGGACUCCAGGACCACGCCCUGGGCCAAAGGCAGGCGCUAAACCACUGAGCCACCCAGGGAUCCCCAAGACUUCAACUUUCAUCCAACAUUGGUAACAAGCACCAGAGUCACCCUUCACCUCAAACAAAAAAGGGACAAAGUAUAUGAAACAACAGAUGCAUACAGUGUUUCCAUUUUGAUGAAAUGUUCUCAGGACAUUGGCUAUCAGUCAAGGAAGGACAGUGAAUCCUGUGAAGAAGCAGAUGAAGUGAACCCUAUGGUUGUUCCAGCUAUUUCCCUUGAGAGAGUUUCCAGGCUGUGGCACAGGGAGAGGGGACCCAAGUGGAACCUAGCAUUCACCUUCCUUAAGGAGCUAGAGCUGGGGCACCUGGGUGGCUCAGUCAGUUAAGCGUCUGCCUUCAGUCAUGAAGGCAGUCAUCAAAUCAUGAUCCCAGGAUGCUGGGAUUGAGCCCCAUAUCUGGCUCCCUGCUCAGAGGAGAGCCUGCUUCUCCCUCCCCUUGCUCUUGUACUCUCUCGCUCCCCCUCUCAAACAAAUAAAUGAGACCUAUUUAAAAAUUUUUAAAAAGCCAGAGCUGAGAGACCAGGGACAUCGAGAAAGCUAGAGUCUGGAAGGGGGAGAGCUUUAUAAAAACCUUAAAGAUCUGCAGAGAUCAAGCAUGUGAGAAAACUGCAUAGGCUAGUUUUCUUCUAGCCACUUGGAAGUAUUAGAACAAUUGAAGCAUAUAGCAGUAGUGCCCUUUCCAACCAGUCUUAGUGAAAAAAACUCAUGGGUCAGUGGGUAUAUUCAGAAGUUUUGCCUCAGUAGUGGAAACUGUUUGGGUCCUGCAUGACAAAACUUACUCAGAAGGAUAACUGAGUAGCUCAACUGUGUCUCAGAACAAAGUUUGAGAGUAUUAAGAGGAAUACAGAAUGUGCAUUCACCAACAUGGUAAUAUGCACAAUAUCUAGUAGCAUCCAUUCAAAAGAUUUCCUGCAUGCAAAUAUGAGGGGAAGUACAACCCUUAAUGAGGAGAAAAGUUCAUUUGACACCAGAAAUGGCAAAGGUGGUAGAAUUAGUAGAUAAGGAUAUAGUAGACAAGAAUAUAUUGUAAUAACUAUAUUUCUUAUGUUCAAAAAGCUGGAAAAAAGAGAUAUGAGUGGUAUAAAAUAGCACAACUCUGACAAUCUUGAAAUGAAAACUGCAAUUCCUGAGAAGAAAAAUACACUGGAUGGAAUCAGAUGAGACAUUGCAGAAGAAAAGAUAGUGAACUUGAAGACAUAUAGUGAUAUAAACUAUCCAAAAUGAAACAAAAAAACCAACUGCAAAAAGAUGAGCAGUGCAUCAAAUGUGCUAAAGGGCAGUUUCAAGCAGCCCAGUGUUUGCAGAGUGUCUGAGAAAGUUGAGGUGGGAAGGGGCACUUGAAGAUACAAUGGCUAGAAUGUUUCUCAAUUUCCUAGAAACUAUAAAUCAGCAACCCAUAAUAUUUAGCAAAUUCCGUUUUCAAGAAACAGGAAGAAAAUGGUAUUAAGGCAUGUUAAAUUUAAUCACUUUUAAAUUAAUGAUAAAAUAGGGGCACCUGCAUGGUUCAGUUGGUUAAGCAUCUGCCUUUGGCUCAGGUUGUGAUCUCGGGGUCCUGGGAUGGAGCCCCGUGUCAGCUCCCUGCUCAGUGGAGAGUCUGCUUCUCCCUCUGCCUCUGUUCCUCCCCCUGCCCUGCCCCUCUUCUGUUCUCUCUCUCUCUCUCUCAAAUAAAUAUAUUUUUUAAAAAAUCAAAGUAAAAUUUAAAAAUCUGUGAUAAAACAGUUUAAAAUCAGUCACAGAAAAAAAGACCUAUUAUGGAAAGAGGAACAAAGAGAAGAAUGACAGCAGACUUCUUAUCAGAAACAAUGUGAAACAACAAGUACUGGAGAAAAUAAAACUGUCAAACCAGAAUUCUCUACUCCGAUACGAUAUUUUUCAAAAACAAACAUGAAAUAAAUACUUUCAGACACACAAAAGCUAAAAAAAUGCAUCACCAACCAACUUGAUGCUAUAAGAAAUGUUAAAGGAAGUCCUUCAAGCAGAUGGAAAAAUAUACCAGAUGGG